rnacentral:rRNA from 1 species
GCUAAAGCGGGGCGAGGAGGGGCGGUAAGUCGGGGGGUGUGGUGGGUGGUCGGAAGUACUGGGCGUAAAGGGCGCGUAGGCGGCCUAGUAAGUCGGACUGGAAAUCCCCCGGCUCAACCGGGGAACGGCGUCCGAUACUGGGGGGCUCGAAUCCGGGAGAGGGAUGUGGAAUUCCAGGUGUAGCGGUGAAAUGCGUAGAUAUCUGGAGGAACACCGGUGGCGAAGGCGGCAUCCUGGACCGGUAUUGACGCUGAUGCGCGAAAGCCAGGGGAGCAAACGGGAUUAGAUACCCCAGUAGUC